UCGAGAAUCAUUCGCAAUGGGCGCAAGCCUGACGAUGCGACGCCGUGUGAGCGAUGAAGGCCUUAGGGUUGUAAAGCUCUUUCGCUUGGGAACAAGAGAGUGUGGUGAAUAACCAUAUAAUUUGAGUGUACCAGGUAAAGAAGCACCGGCUAACUCCGUGCCAGCAGCUGCGGUAAUACGGAGGGUGCAAGCAUUAAUCGGAUUUAUUGGGCGUAAAGGGCGUGUAGGCGGGAAAGGAAGUCAGAUGUGAAAUCCCGGGGCUCAACCUCGGAACAGCAUUUGAAACUCCUUAUCUUGAGGGUAGGCGGGGAAAACAGAAUUCCACAUGUAGCGGUGAAAUGCGUAGAUAUGUGGAGGAAUACCGGUGGCGAAGGCGGUUUUCUAGCUUACACCUGACGCUGAGGCGCGAAAGCAAGGGGAGCAAACAGGAUUAGAUACCCCUGUAGUCC
rnacentral:rRNA from 1 species